UACAGAGGUCCCAAGCGUUGUUCGGAUUCACUGGGCGUAAAGGGUGCGUAGGCGGUCGGGCAAGUCUGACGUGAAAUCUUCAAGCUUAACUUGGAAACUGCGUCGGAUACUAUUCGGCUAGAGGAAUGGAGGGGAGACUGGAAUACUUGGUGUAGCAGUGAAAUGCGUAGAUAUCAAGUGGAACACCAGUGGCGAAGGCGAGUCUCUGGACAUUUCCUGACGCUGAGGCACGAAAGCCAGGGGAGCAAACGGG
rnacentral:rRNA from 1 species